UCGGGAAUUUUGGGCAAUGGGCGAAAGCCUGACCCAGCAACGCCGCGUGUGGGAUGAAGGCCCUCGGGUCGUAAACCACUGUCAGGAGGAAAGAAAAGUCGGCCGGAUAAUACUCGGUCGACCUGACGGUACCUCCAAAGGAAGCACCGGCUAACUCCGUGCCAGCAGCCGCGGUAAUACGGAGGGUGCAAGCGUUGUUCGGAAUUACUGGGCGUAAAGGGCUCGUAGGCGGCCAACUAAGUCAGACGUGAAAUCCCUCGGCUUAACCGGGGAACUGCGUCUGAUACUGGAUGGCUUGAAUCCGGGAGAGGGAUGCGGAAUUCCAGGUGUAGCGGUGAAAUGCGUAGAUAUCUGGAGGAACACCGGUGGCGAAAGCGGCUCACUGGACCGUAACUGACGCUGAGGUGCGAAAGCUAGGGGAGCAAACGGGAUUAGAUACCCCCGUAGUCCCUGAGCGGGCUGGCAAGGCGCAU
rnacentral:rRNA from 1 species